rfam:Lachnoclostridium sp. An118 An118_contig_4, whole genome shotgun sequence.
GAGAACUGUCAAGAUGAAGAGUGAAAUGAUUGGGUAACGCCUUGAAGCGCUCUCCUUAAUACUACGAUAUGCAGUUAACCCUCGCAACAGGGUGGCUGUAUAAAGCUCGUGGAAGUCGGCAGAGAGAUACCGUAAGUGGCAGUUAGCUACUCGAAAGCGUGCCAGCGGUGGCAUGUGUAUCCUAUAUGCCGGAGGUCCCUAAA